rnacentral:rRNA from 1 species
CCCUUAGAUGUCCGGGGCUGCACGCGCGCUACACUGAAGGAAUCAGCGUGCUAAAACCAUUGUCGAAAGGCAUUGGUAAACCCAUUAAAAUCCUACGUGAUUGGGAUCGGGAAUUGCAAUUAUUUCCCUUGAACGAGGAAUUCCCAGUAAGUGUGGGUCAUAAGCUCGCGUUGAUUACGUCCCUGCCCUUUGGACACACCGCCCGUCGCUGCCCGGGACUGAGCCGUUUCGAGAAAAGCGGGGACUGCUGCUGUCGGGGCUUUCGGGCCUUGGCUUCGGUGGAAACCGCUUUAAUCGCAGUGGCUUGAACCGGGCAAAAGUCGUAACA